CCUAGAGUUGUGGGCUUUGCCUGCUAUCUCUUACCCAUGUCUUUUGAGUACCUUACGUUUCCUCGGUGGGUUCGCCCACCGAUUGGACAAAUUUAAACCCUUUGCAGUUGAAAUCAGCGUCUGAAAAAACUUAAUAGUUA
rnacentral:misc_RNA from 1 species